CUGGAAGAUCAGGGUGAGCUUUAAGGUACCAAUUCUUCUUUCCUCUAUUUAGAAGAUUUACACACAAGCUAUGUGACUCUGGGUUCAGAUUUCUCUGAGCCACAAUUUUCUCACAUUUAAAAUGGGCUCAUGGAGUUCCCAUUGUGGUGCAGCGGAAAUGAAUACGACCAGUAUCCAUGAGGAUGUGGGUUCAAUCCCUGGCCUCUCUCAGUGGGUCAGGGAUCCAGUGUUGCUGUGGUAUAGCUUGCAGAUGUGGCUCGGAUCUGGCGUUGCUGUGGCUGUGGUGUGGGCCGGCGGCUGUAGCUCUGAUUCAACCCCUAGCCUAGGAACCUCCAUAUGCUGCACAUGUGGCCCCAGAAAGAAAACUAUAAGUGGGCUCAGCAGGUUAAGGGUCUGGCGUUGCCAUGAGCUGUGGUGUAGGUCACAGAUGCAGCUCAGAUCCGAUGUUGCUGUGGCUGUGGCGUAGGCCGGCAACAACAGGCCAAGGUUCCUGGGGCAGAGCCUGUGGGUGGGAGAGUCCCUCAGAGGAGUAGGACCCUCUGGGAGCAGCUGCCGUGUUUACCAGCCGGCACUCAACCUCAGCAGAGGCAUCACGAAGACGCUUCAUCUAUUUUCCUGCAAACUAAGUGCUGGGGUUUCUGGUACAGAGUGGAUGAAGGAGCCCCUAAAGGCAUUGACUUCAGGCUUUACGCAGCCUCCAGCAAUUAGGAGCUUGAUGGAUUUGAUUUGAUUGAUAAAAUGUGACCCGUGGGCUUCGUGUCCCGGAGGCGGUCGUGGCUGUUACAGGUGAGAUGUGUUACAGGAUUUCCUGCCCCGCUCCUGACUCAAGCCCCGGUUCGGCUCCCAAGAUGGUCGUCCCUGGUAGCCAUUUGAACCCCUGCCCUUCAUGUUUAUUUCCAGGAAUGGGGCUCAUCAAAAUCCCCUUCUCCUCUUGCCCUGCCUGGAGAAAAGGCCCUGAAGACCCUUCCCCCGAGGACUGGGCUGCCUCAGGGGUAGAAGGUGUGGCGUGGAUGCUCCGAGCAGACACUUGGUCCCAAGGCCCAGCCAGGCAGCGGGAAAGGGUCCCUUCCAGAGGGUGUCAGCGAAUGGAGUGGAUCCAGUGGAGCAACGGAGGUUCCCAGAAGUACAGCACUCUGGACCCCGAUGGCCACCUUUAUUCACACAAAGAAAGGGUUUUUCCAUUUGGAGGUCAACAUGUUGAAGGUGAGUAGUUAAUAUUGUGUCUAAUCAAUAGCCUACAUUUUUCGGAGGGGCCUCAUCCAGAACGAAGAGUGAAGAUAGGACUUUGCUGGUACCAACCCCACUGAUAGAGAG
ensembl:lncRNA